rnacentral:sRNA from 1 species
UGAUUAUGGCUUGAUGAGUGGCUUAAGU